ACCUACGGGACGCAGCAGUGGGGAAUAUUGCACAAUGGGGGAAACCCUGAUGCAGCGACGCCGCGUGAGUGAAGAAGUAUCUCGGUACGUAAAGCUCUAUCAGCAGGGAAGAAAAAAAGUCUUUGGCUUUGGACGGUACCUGACUAAGAAGCCCCGGCUAACUACGUGCCAGCAGCCGCGGUAAUACGUAGGGGGCAAGCGUUAUCCGGAUUUACUGGGUGUAAAGGGAGCGUAGACGGCACUGCAAGUCCGGAGUGAAAGCCCACAGCCCAACUGUGGGACUGCUCUGGAAACUGUGGCGCUCG
rnacentral:rRNA from 1 species